CUGGUUGAUCCUACUGGUAGUCAUAUGCUUGUCUCAAAGAUUAAGCCAUACAUUUGUAAGUAUGAACUGAUUCAGACUAUAAAACUGCAAAUAGCUCAUUAAAUCAGUUAUAAUUUGUUUGAUCAUAUUUGCUACUCGGAUAAUCGUAGUAAUUCUAAAGCUAAUACAUGCAACAAACCCUCACUUUUGUGAGGGAUGCAUUUAUUAGAUAAAAGGUCGAUGCGGGCUUUGCCCAUUGUUCUGAUGAUUCAUGAUAACUUGACGGAUCGCAUGGCCAUCGUGCCAACCCUCACUUUUGUGAGGGAUGCAUUUAUUAGAUAAAAGGUUGAUGCGGGCUUUGCCCAUUGUUCUAAUGAUUCAUGAUAACUUGAUGGAUCGCAUGGCCAUCGUGCCAAUGAUGCAUCAUUUAAAUUUCUGCCCUAUCAAAUUUCGAUGGUAGGAUAGUGGCCUAUUAUGAAGGUGAUGGGUGAUGGAGAAUUAGGGUUUGAUUCCGGAGAGGGAGCCUGAGAAAUAGCUACGACAUCCAAGGAAGGUAGCAGGCGCGCAAAUUACCCAAUCCUGACACAGGGAGGUAAUGAUAAUAAAUAACAAUACCAGGCUCAUUGAGUUUGGUAAUUGAAAUGAUUAUGAUAUAAAUCCCUUAACGAGGAUCCAUUGGAGGGCAAGUUUGGUGCCAGCAGCCGCGGUAAUUCCAACUCCAAUAGUGUAUAUUUAAGUUGUUGUAGUUAAAAAGCUCAUAGUUGGACUUUGGGUUAGGUUGACCGGCUUACCUCACGAUGUGCACCGAUUAGCUCCUCCCUUCUAUCGACGAUAUGCUCAGCUGAACUGGCUGAGUUGUGCCUCCAAUGUUGUUACUUUGAAGAAAUUAGAGUGCUCAAAGCAAGCCUACGCUCUAUAUAUAUUAGUAUGGGAUAACAUCAUAGGAUUCUAGUCCUAUUGUGUUGGCCUUCGAGAUCAGAGUAAUGAUUAACAAAGAUAGUCGAGAGCAUUUGUAUUUCAUAGUCAUUGGUGAAAUUCUUGAUUCUUGCAUUUAUGAAAGACGAACAACUACAAAAACAUACCACCGGCCGCGGUGGCUCCGCUGGAUAAGGCCCUGCUGAUCCUCAGCCUAGAGGUGAAGGGUUCAAAACCCAAGGGAGGCGCUAGGUGUAUUAAGUGUGACUCAAGGGUGGUGGGUCCUCCUGCUUAAGUGUCACCUGGGGGUUUACGGCGCGGCUGUCGGUUGCAAGCCGAUUCCUCCAGCACAAAAAAAAAAAAAAACUACAAAAACAUACCACUGCCCUCGGCGGCGCAGUUGGCUCGAGCUCUCUCCCCUUCACGAAGGGGAGAAGUUCGAAUCCCAAAGGCAUCGUUAGAGAUUCUUAUUGUGGUGGUGGGUCCUGCAAUUCCUCCACCAGAGUUUGCUCGUCAGCUGUCGAUUUACGAGGUUCCCUGGGUUACCAAAAAAGAAACAACUACAAAAACAUUUGCCAAUGAUGUUUUCAUUAAUUAAGAACGAAAGUUGGGAGCUCAAAGAUGAUAAGAUACCGUCUUAGUCUCAAUCAUAAAUUAUGCCGACUAGGGAUCGGCGGAUGUUGCUUUUAGGACUUUGCCGGCACCUUAUGAGAAAUCAAAGUUUUUGGGUUCCA
rnacentral:ncRNA from 1 species